rnacentral:rRNA from 1 species
AUGGGGAGCACAAAAAACAGAAGAAGAAAGAUGGAAGGGAGGGAGCGGGCAGGGGGAGAAGAACCUAAGGGGAUGAACGCUGCGGUCCGUCACACAGUGCGCACACAAGGACCGGCCAGGGCUGGUCUAGCACACACCAAUGGGGAGCACAAAGAACAGAAGAAAGACGUGGAAGGUGGAAGGGAGGGAGCAAGCAGGGGAGGGGGGCGGGACCUAAGGGGACGAGCACCACGCCGCGGUUCGUCGAGACGGUGGUUGGAACUUGGAAGCUUGGGGGCAGCCUGCGCGGUGUUGGAUCUAGCGCAGGAGCUCCUUGCGGCAGCCAUGGUGAGCAGGUAG